rnacentral:rRNA from 1 species
AUUGAACGCUGGCGGCAGGCCUAACACAUGCAAGUCGAGCGGAUGAGUGGAGCUUGCUCCAUGAUUCAGCGGCGGACGGGUGAGUAAUGCCUAGGAAUCUGCCUGGUAGUGGGGGACAACGUUUCGAAAGGAACGCUAAUACCGCAUACGUCCUGCGGGAGAAAGUGGGGGAUCUUCGGACCUCACGCUAUCAGAUGAGCCUAGGUCGGAUUAGCUAGUUGGUGAGGUAAAGGCUCACCAAGGCGACGAUCCGUAACUGGUCUGAGAGGAUGAUCAGUCACACUGGAACUGAGACACGGUCCAGACUCCUACGGGAGGCAGCAGUGGGGAAUAUUGGACAAUGGGCGAAAGCCUGAUCCAGCCAUGCCGCGUGUGUGAAGAAGGUCUUCGGAUUGUAAAGCACUUUAAGUUGGGAGGAAGGGCAGUAAGCUAAUACCUUGCUGUUUUGACGUUACCAACAGAAUAAGCACCGGCUAACUUCGUGCCAGCCGCCGCGGUAACAC